rnacentral:misc_RNA from 1 species
UCUGGACCUGAUCAGGACAACCUGAUCUGGACCUGAUCAGGUUUUCCUGAUCUCAGGUCAUACCUGAUCUGGACCUGAUCAGGUUUCCCUGGUCAGGUCCAGAUACAUCAUCUGCGUUACAUGCCUUAUCUAGUCCUGACCAGGCAUGCACGGUCCGGUCCUUGGUUGCUUGAUCCAAAUCGAGUAUGCCCAUGCGGUCCUUUUAAAUAAAACACGAAUGUACAGUCUUGACAAAAUUGUUUAUUAAAAAACUUGAUUGUCUGCAAAGUUGGUUUACAGACGAUAGUUAAACGUGACAACCGUCAUAACAAAACAUCUCCUCGGAUGCAUAGGCCGAUCAGAUAGAUGCGGCACAAGCAUACAUAUGAUCGUAACGAAGCCGGCGUUAAUCGAUUUAUUAGACGUCACGUCAAAAAAAAAAAAGAAAUGAUAUUAUGUUAUUUACAUACUAUGUAUAUUUAAAAUAACAUAUUAUAUAUAUUUAACUUAACAUAACAUAACAAUACACUUUAUUGUGCACUUAAACAGAAAUAAAACU